rnacentral:ribozyme from 21 species
ACGACAACUGAGGAAAGACCCCCCUUCGAGAGAGGCCCUGCAAUAACGAGGUGGGAGGAGACCCCC